rnacentral:tRNA from 1 species
AUGGGUAUAGCUCAGUGGCAGACCACGUGCUUCACUUGCACGAGGUCCUGGGUCCAAUCCCCAGUACCUCUG